GCCUCGCACCCCACGUCCCCAGGGCGAGGCGGCGGCGCAGGCGCCCAGC
rnacentral:miRNA from 1 species